rnacentral:rRNA from 1 species
AUUGAACGCUGGCGGCAUGCUUUACACAUGCAAGUCGAGCGGCAGCGCGGGGGGCAACCCCUGGCGGCGAGCGGCGAACGGGUGAGUAAUGCAUCGGAACGUACCCUGGAGUGGGGGAUAACGCCGCGAAAGCGGCGCUAAUACCGCAUAUGCUCUGAGGAGGAAAGUGGGGGACCUGCAAGGGCCUCACGCUCUGGGAGCGGCCGAUGUCCGAUUAGCUAGUUGGUGGGGUAAAGGCUUACCAAGGCGACGAUCGGUAGCUGGUCUGAGAGGAUGAUCAGCCACACUGGGACUGAGACACGGCCCAGACUCCUACGGGAGGCAGCAGUGGGAAUUUUGGACAAUGGGGGCAACCCUGAUCCAGCCACGCCGCGUGAGUGAAGAAGGCCUCGGUUGGUAAGAC